GCGCGAAAACUUUACAAUGCUGGCAACAGCGAUAAGGGAACCUCGAGUGCCAGGUUACAAAUCUGGCUGUCGAGAUGCCUAAAAAGCAUUUCAUAGCAAGGGCCGGGCAAGACCGGUGCCAGCCGCCGCGGUAACACCGGCGGCUCGAGUGGUAACCGUUAUUAUUGGGUCUAAAGGGUCUGUAGCCGGCCGGAUAAGUCUCUUGAGAAAUCUGGCAGCUUAACUGUCAGGCUUUCAGGAGAUACUGUCUGGCUCGAGGCCGGGAGAGGUGAGAGGUACUUCAGGGGUAGGGGUGAAAUCUUGUAAUCCUUGAAGGACCACCAGUGGCGAAGGCGUCACACCAGAACGGAGCUGUCGGCAAGGGACGAAAGCUAGGGGCACGAACC
rnacentral:rRNA from 1 species